rnacentral:rRNA from 1 species
UAAGGGCGCACGGUGGAUGCCUUGGCACUAGAAGCCGAUGAAGGACGUUACUAACGACGAUAUGCUUUGGGGAGCUGUAAGUAAGCUUUGAUCCAGAGAUUUCCGAAUGGGGAAACCCAACAUGAGUUAUGUCAUGUUAUCGAUAUGUGAAUACAUAGCAUAUCAGAAGGCACACCCGGAGAACUGAAACAUCUUAGUACCCGGAGGAAGAGAAAGAAAAUUCGAUUCCCUUAGUAGCGGCGAGCGAAACGGGAAGAGCCCAAACCAACAAGCUUGCUUGUUGGGGUUGUAGGACACUCUAUACGGAGUUACAAAGGACGACAUUAGACGAAUCAUCUGGAAAGAUGAAUCAAAGAAGGUAAUAAUCCUGUAGUCGAAAAUGUUGUCUCUCUUGAGUGGAUCCUGAGUACGACGGAGCACGUGAAAUUCCGUCGGAAUCUGGGAGGACCAUCUCCUAAGGCUAAAUACUCUCUAGUGACCGAUAGUGAACCAGUACCGUGAGGGAAAGGUGAAAAGCACCCCGGAAGGGGAGUGAAAUAGAACCUGAAACCGUGUGCUUACAAGUAGUCAGAGCCCGUUAAUGGGUGAUGGCGUGCCUUUUGUAGAAUGAACCGGCGAGUUACGAUUUGAUGCAAGGUUAAGCAGUAAAUGUGGAGCCGUAGCGAAAGCGAGUCUGAAUAGGGCGUUUAGUAUUUGGUCGUAGACCCGAAACCAGGUGAUCUACCCUUGGUCAGGUUGAAGUUCAGGUAACACUGAAUGGAGGACCGAACCGACUUACGUUGAAAAGUGAGCGGAUGAACUGAGGGUAGCGGAGAAAUUCCAAUCGAACCUGGAGAUAGCUGGUUCUCUCCGAAAUAGCUUUAGGGCUAGCCUCAAGUGAUGAUUAUUGGAGGUAGAGCACUGUUUGGACGAGGGGCCCCUCUCGGGUUACCGAAUUCAGACAAACUCCGAAUGCCAAUUAAUUUAACUUGGGAGUCAGAACAUGGGUGAUAAGGUCCGUGUUCGAAAGGGAAACAGCCCAGACCACCAGCUAAGGUCCCAAAAUAUAUGUUAAGUGGAAAAGGAUGUGGCGUUGCCCAGACAACUAGGAUGUUGGCUUAGAAGCAGCCAUCAUUUAAAGAGUGCGUAAUAGCUCACUAGUCGAGUGACACUGCGCCGAAAAUGUACCGGGGCUAAACAUAUUACCGAAGCUGUGGAUUGUCCUUUGGACAAUGGUAGGAGAGCGUUCU